rnacentral:lncRNA from 1 species
CAUGGAGGAGCUGUUGAGGACAACCUUGGCUUCGACCUCUCUCCCUGGAGACAGGACAUCUUUCAAAGAUUCAGCCCAGUAAGUCUCUGAGGUUUCUGACCCAGGAAGGGAUGCUUUACAGUGGUGCAUGUGGGGCGAGUGUGAUUAAAACCCUGUCCCCCAGGGCAGCUUUCCAACUCCUUGGCCACCAGCAACUUUUGUCCUUUGCUGUCCUACCUGCAAGUGCAGAUCUGCUUUGCUUAACUGGCUGCAGCAAGUGUUCUGUCUCCCCAGACCCAGGUUGGGGAGCUGCGUGUGGUGAAACUCCUUUGCAAACCCAAGCAGUGUGCAGGGUCCUGUCUGAUAGAAGCAUGGCUUUCUGGGAGAGCAGGAGGGACAAUACCCCCCAGUAGCCAGCUCAGGGAAGAGACAUCAACCUGCAACUGGAUGAUAAGUGGGAUGUAAAGUCACACCGUCUGAACUCCACGGAGGAGUGAGCUGGGCCCGUGGACCGUCUCAGAGGAAGGAAAACAGAAACAGGGGAGUAUAGAACGUGAUCCCCUGGUUGUUGGGUACUUUUGUGCCUGCUCAUUCCUGGGGCCAGAGUGCUCAGGAAUGGACAGUCAGGUGGACCCGGAGUCCAUCUGUACUCAACACAUGCAUGUUCUUCUGGUCAUUAUUUCUUAAUACAUUAGUUAAGGGCUUCUGCAGGAAGGGGGACUCACUGCCUAAGGAGAGACCAGGGAGGGCUUACGCUGUCUGUUGGUGUGCUCGCUGGGUAAAGCAGCACUGCAGACCCAAGUGUCCAGGGCUCAACGGUGAAGUUGUAAAUAGGACCAAACUGUCUAGGUCCCCAUGGGAGGCCAGUGACCCUGUACUCCUCCUGUCAAGAGGAAAAUGGAAAAGAGAGACAGCUCAGAGUUU